CACACCAGUCCCGCAAAAAUUGAGAUCCGUAGGCAUGGCUUACCGAUGGGGUAUACCAGGCACACUACAAGUAACCCACAAUGCAACUACUCACUCACUUUAUUGGCAGACGCACCAAAGCUCCUCUCAUCACUGGGGCUGUCAGAACCACUAACUGGCCCAGAAACAACUGCCCCUGGCAGGAUCUGGGAUCUGUCUACCAUCACAUCCUUUGUCCCAAGAGAGGCAACUAGGCACCUGAACACAGCUGGCAACAGAGUUGUUCGAGUCUGGCCUAUACAAGAAUGGCCGUCACUUUUAACUAUAAUGACCUAAUGUUUUUAUUCUCAUAUGGUUUCUCUUUAGUAGUGUUAUAUUUUUAUUAUUUUACUGUUUGCCUAUGCACUACAUUACUCCACAGAGUUUCCACCGAGCUCUAACGUAACGGAUGACCAUCCCCCCUCUGGGUGAACCGGACUGCUAUAGAGAUCACAUGUCAGCCCUUAACCCUUAACUUACAUAACUCACAGGCAAGACACCUGCCCUACUACCCCC